GGGAAUUCAAGCUGCUCAGGAGUGGAUGUGGAAAAACAAGCCUGAAGGAGGUUGAGUUUUGCAGCUAAGAUGAUGCAUUUAGGUGGAAGCAGAUGUCACAAUUUUGUAUUGUGCAGCCUGAUCUCAAAGGAAAUGUAGCAUUACUCUGUGAAUAUCUUUUACAGUGUUGAGUACACUGCCCUAAGGAGUCCAUGGCCAGUCUACGCGAUAGCUAUAAUGCUUAGAGAUUGCCAUUGUGUGCCUCAAGGUUUCCAGCAUUUCCUUGAUAGUCCCUAUUGUGUAUCGUCUUAUAUUUAUAUUUUUAUCAGAGCCCACAGUUGGGUUCGAAGAUGUGUAGUCUAGAAAUAAACCCCUCCCCAGCAAACCAUGUUUGUUGUGUCAACA
rnacentral:misc_RNA from 1 species